GCCAGCGUGGCAUAGUGGUUUGAGUGUUGGACUACGACUCUAGAGAUCAGGGCUCAAUUCCUAUUUGGUC